AAAUCCCUAACUUCUCCGUCUCUAGUACUCGACAAUCAACACUGACUUUUAUCAUCUCACCUCACGUAGUCAUUGGCUCUCAUUAAUCGUCGAUGUCUCAAAUUCACGAUGUAGCAUCGACACUAGACGGUUCAGUGUUCACAUUCUCAGGCCGCAGCUCACCUCUCGACACUCGACACUCGUCUCUAGUCUCUCAUAUCAGAGGUCAAAACUCAGAAGCAGAACUAAGACUGAGAGUCAGAGACCUCGCUGGCCAUUGUCUAACAUUCAACACUCGAGUCUUCAACAGUCGUCUCUCACACAAUCACUCAAUUACUCAGACACUCAAACGGUCAGACCAUCAUCAUUCCAAGUUCAACAAUUUGAGGUUGAGCUAUAGAAGUGCAUCACUGUUUUUUAUUUUCUAAGUUGCUGCAAAUUGCAAUGUUGCCUGCUGCUGGAACUAAAAGCUAUAGAAGUGCAAUUCUUAUUUCUUGGCUGUUGAAUGUUGAUGUUGAUUAUUGCCUACUGGAAGCACAAGCUACAGAAGGGAAAAAAUGUUUUGUUGUUUAAUGUUUUCUUAUCUAUAAAACAGAACAUAGAAGUAUCAAAUGCAUAAAUAUUUUAUUAUUUUUUGGUUUCUGCCUGCUGCUGGGGUUGUAGCCUGUAGGAGGGUUGUGUGUGCUGGAGCUUGUUGAAUUUUGUGUUGUUGUUGUUUUUAAAGUGUUAAUGGCUUAAUGUUGGACCUAUUUGUUUAGACAUUUGCAAACUGUAGUUAUAAACUUGUUAACAAUGCCAAUUUUCAUGGCUGAUUCGAGUUUCUAA